GAUGGAACGCAGCGAAAUGCGAUAAGUAAUGUGAAUUGCAGAAUUCAGUGAAUCAUCGAAUCUUUGAACGCACAUUGCGCCCGCCAGUAUUCUGGCGGGCAUGCCUGUUCGAGCGUCAUUUCAACCAUCAAGCCCCCGGCUUGUGUUGGGGACCUGCGGCUGCCGCAGGCCCUGAAAACCAGUGGCGGGCUCGCUAGUCACUCCGAGCGUAGUAAUACAUCUCGCUCAGGGCGUGCUGCGGGUUCCGGCCGUUAAAAAGCCUUAUUUACCCAAGGUUGACCUCGGAUCAGGUAGGAAGACCCGCUGAACUUAAGCAUAUCAAUAAGCGGAGGA
rnacentral:misc_RNA from 1 species